CUUCGCCUUGCUGCUACGGUGCUCCAAACCCAAUCCCAUGAUUUUACGACGUCGCCUCGGCUCGUUCGGCGAACCCGAAGCCUAAACGUCCGUUUCUUUAAUAACUUUGUAACGGCUCGUCGGAUUGCCGAACCGUCUUCGCCAACGUGUUUCGUUACCUACCAAUUAGGUUUACAGAGGGUUAAAAGAGAUCAAACCCUCAUAUAUAUCAAAACGCCAUUUUUGACGCCCUAGAUGCUAAUAUUGCAAAAUACCCCAAAUCGAUCUCCGAUUCAAGCAAUAAACAUCUAUCUAGCAUCAAAGGAGCCUACUAAACUCAUUUCUAGAGAUCAAAACCCUACAUCUA
rnacentral:lncRNA from 1 species